rnacentral:lncRNA from 1 species
GGGACAAAGGGUCUGUUCAGCCAAAGUUUAAAUAAUCUUUUGGGUAUGAGGGCUGUCUUAGAGAUGUUGCCAAAAUAUUGAAAUAUCAGAAGUCCCAUGCAGCUUUCUGUUGUACACACACACACACACACACACACACACACAAUUACGGCAGAAACAUUCUACAAACACACACACAGUCAGAGAGCCAUGGUUCUCUCCAGAGAAAGACUCAGGAGUUUGGGGCAGGAAAUAAGUUUUUCUAUUUAAAAUAUACUCCUGAAAGUGCUUGAAAACUUUUCUUUUUUUUUUUUUUUUUUUUGCCAUGCCUGUGGCACAUGGAAGUUCUCAGGCCAAGGAUCAAACUUGCACCAUAGCUGUAACCACAGGAACAGCAAUAGCAAUGCUGGAUCCUUCACCCACUGAGCCAUUAAUCUUGUUAAAAUCGACUUGUCUGAGACGUUGCUUCAACAAAACCAUUGCUUGGCUUAGUGUGAGUGACUCCACUCACUUUUUGGUUCCAUCAGUGUGGGGAGCACACCCCAGCAGGGUGUUUCAGACACGUCUUGGAAGCGGGAGAGGGAAUAAGCAAGAUCUCGACGGUUUUAAAGGUACAGCCCCAAGGAGAACAAAAACAUGAAGGCAGUGGAUGCCGUGAUGUAGCGCCCAGGCUCCCGUUCAGGAAUGAAGACUCAUUCCUCCAGCAGCUGGAAAGUGGCCCUGGAGGAGGAGCUCCCAGAGGACCCCCCACCUAGGACAGCCACCUCGCUGUCUGGAGCAGCCCUCAGCCUACAACUGAUCUGCUUUGGAGAGGGAAAGAGGCCCAGCCCCCUUGCCUCAGCUUGGAACCAUUCCAUGGAGGAGGCAUCUAGGCUCACCCUCUGCCCAACCCCACUUUCUUCUUUCUGCCACAAGUGGUGAUCCUGGGACCACUCCUCAUACACCUGCUCCAAGCUCAUCUCCAUCUUAGGGCCUGCUUCUUGGGUGACCCAACCCCUAACACUUGGUACCAGGAGUCUGAGAAAACAGGUGCUGGGAUGAGAUUCGGGAGCUCAGAAGGUGGGCACUGAGAGUGGAUACAUGAGGCUGGAAAACCCACCAACUAACUCUGUUCCUUGGGGCAGCCCAGAGGAGACACAAUUUAGCAAAGCAGCAAGGCAUGCACGGUGAGAAGGCCACCUGCCUCACACAGAAGCUCCACGAUGGCUCUCUGAUACAAGCCGAGAAAUGCCAUGCCCGAGCUGGGCACACGGAUAGCAAUGGAAAUAACAGCACGUCCCCCCAACACCCAAAUAGAGACUGGGUGACAGCAUUUCACCAUCAGUGGCCCAGGAGCACUGGCUCCCCUUUACGAAGGCUGGCCCGGCUUUUGCCGCUGUAGACCACAAAGUGCUAUAGCAGUCAAAGCCAAGGUGGCAUUCCCAGUAAGGUGCCCUUCCUGAGGUGCCCAGCCAGGCUUCUGGUGGUGAGUUGACUGCACUGGGCUGACUCCACUCAAGUAGAAGGUGAAGCAGUCUGCUUUAGCAGGAAUAAAUUCACAUCUCAGGUAUGGGUUUGCCUUUUU